GCGUGGUAAAGUGGAAUGGAAAGUUAAGUUAGCGGUGAAAUGUCAGUCGAACUUUAUAUAUCUGGUUGUUUUCGAAGUAAAUUGAAUUUGACUUCAGUGAGAAAUUUCGCUGGAGGUUCAUUUAAGGGGGAAAAGCUCCUUAAUUUUGUGUAUAAGAGUGUUUUUUGAUUAAUUAGAAUUAGGCUUAAGAUCAGCCAUAUUACUACAACGUUUUAGUGUAUAGUUGUUUAUACAAAAAAUUUGUUUCUUUUUAUGGAAAGUAGGAAAUUAGGUGCAGAAAUAUGGGGUGUUCUGAAAAAAUGAUUGUAUUAGUAAAAAUUUUUGUUAAAGAAUUUAAAAAUCUAAAUUUGUGCAAUUUAAAUUUUGAGAGUUAUCUUUAAGGAAUUCGGCAAUUUGUGUGCCCACCUGUUUAUCAAAAACAUGUCUAUUGGAUUUAAAUCGAUAGUCUGACCUGCCCACUGAAUAUUUUAAAUGGCCGCGGUAUUUAGACCGUGCUAAGGUAGCAUAAUCAAUAGUCUUUUAAUUGGGGACUAGAAUGAACGGUUGGAUGAGGUACAAGCUGUCUAGCAAUUAUAAUUUUGAAUUUUACUAUUAAGUGAAAAGGCUUAAAUUAUUUAGCGGGACGAUAAGACCCUAUAAAGCUUUUAUUUGGCUUAUUAUUUUAACUAUGAUAUUUUUGUGCUUAUGUUAAAAUUGGGGUUAAAUUGGGUUGGGGCGACUGGGAUAUAAAAGGUAACUGUCCUUAUGAUUAAAAUAAUGGUUUUUAGGUAUUUGAUCCUGUAGUAUGGGUUAAAAGAUUAAAGUUACUUUAGGGAUAACAGCGUAA
rnacentral:rRNA from 1 species